rnacentral:rRNA from 1 species
AGCGAACGCUGGCGACAGGCUUAACACAUGCAAGUCGAGCGGGCACUUUCGGGUGUCAGCGGCGGACGGGUGAGUAACGCGUGGGAACGUGCCCUCUGGUUCGGAAUAACUCAGGGAAACUUGAGCUAAUACCGGAUACGCCCUUUUGGGGAAAGGCUUGCUGCCGGAGGAUCGGCCCGCGUCUGAUUAGCUAGUUGGUGAGGUAACGGCUCACCAAGGCGACGAUCAGUAGCUGGUCUGAGAGGAUGAUCAGCCACACUGGGACUAAGACACGGCCCAGACUCCUACGGGAGGCAGCAGUGGGGAAUAUUAGACAAUGGGCGCAAGCCUGAUACAGCCAUGCCGCGGGAGUGAGGAAGGCCUUAGUGUUGUAAAGCUCUUUUAUCCGGGACGAUAAUGACGGUACCGGAGAAAUAAGCCCCGGCUAACUUCGUG